AACGAACGCUGGCGGCAGGCUUAACACAUGCAAGUCGAACGCCCCGCAAGGGGAGUGGCAGACGGGUGAGUAACGCGUGGGAACAUGCCCUAAGGUACGGAACAACACCGGGAAACUGGUGCUAAUACCGUAUGUGACCGAGAGGUGAAAGAUUUAUCGCCUUAGGAUUGGCUCGCGUCGGAUUAGCUAGUUGGUGGGGUAAAGGCCUACCAAGGCGACGAUCCGUAGCUGGUCUGAGAGGACGAUCAGCCACACUGGGACUGAGACACGGCCCAGACUCCUACGGGAGGCAGCAGUGGGGAAUCUUGGACAAUGGGCGCAAGCCUGAUCCAGCCAUGCCGCGUGAGUGACGAAGGCCUUAGGGUUGUAAAACUCUUUCGCCGAGGACGAUAAUGACGGUACUCGGAGAAGAAGCUCCGGCUAACUUCGUGCCAGCCGCCGCGGUAACAC
rnacentral:rRNA from 1 species